rnacentral:lncRNA from 1 species
UCAAGAAGUAACAUUUCUUAUCAUAAGUGGGAACCUUAUAGGGACCCCAUAGAUUCAAGUGUACAAGUUUCAGAACUGAAUCAGAUCUAGAAGUGCUAAUAGGAAAUUGUAUUCUAGUUUGCUUUGCCAAAGGACAUAUGUGGCAAUUAUUUUCUACAAGAAUGCUAGCACAUUUCUUAGUUCAGGAAUUUGUUUAAUGACUUGUUAUGAAGGAUGUCCCAACCUCAUAUGCCAUAG